GGUGUCAAUCAGACGUUAAUCAGGGUGUCAAUCAGUACGUUUACCAGGGUGUCAAUGAGAAUGUCAAUCAGGGUGUCAGUCAAUACUUCAAUCAGGGUGUCAAUCAAUACGUACGUUCAUGGUGUCAAUCAGUACGUCAAUCAGGGUGUCAAUCAAUAUGUACGUUCAUGGUGUCAAUCAGUACGUCCAUCAGGGUGUCAAUCAGUACGUCAAUCAUGGUGUCAAUCAGUACGUCAAUCAGGGUGUCAAUCAGUACGUCAAUCAGGGUGUCAAUCAGUACGUCAAUCAGGGUGUCAAUCAUUUGCGUUCUACCAGGGCGUCAAUGACAAUGUCAAUCAGACGUCCGUUCAUGGUGUCAAUCAGUACGUCAAUCAGAAAGUCAACCGGGGUGUCAAUCAAUACGUCCGUUCAUGGGUGUCAAUCAGUACGUCAAUCAUGGUGUCAAUCAGUACGUCAAUCAGGGUUUCAAUCAAUACGUACGUUCGUGGUGUCAAUCAGUGUGUCAAUCAGUGUGUCAAUCAGUACGUCAAUCAGUGUGUCAAUCAGUACGUCAAUCAGUGUGUCAAUCAGUACGUCAACCAGGGUGUCAAUCAGUACGUCAACCAGGGUGUCAAUUAGUACAUCAACUCUUUUGGAGUGAAUAUACUGUAGUCAGCUCACAAGUGGGUCGUGGUGAACUCUGUGACUGUAGAUAUUAGUACGACCAUCA